UACGUAGGGUGCGAGCGUUGUCCGGAAUUACUGGGCGUAAAGAGCUCGUAGGUGGUUUGUCGCGUUGUUCGUGAAAUCUCACGGCUUUAACUGUGAGCGUGCGGGCGAUACGGGCAGACUUGAGUACUGCAGGGGAGGACUGGAAUUCUGGUGUAGCGGUGGAAUGCGCAGAUAUCAGGAGGAACACCGGUGGCGAAGGCGGGUCUCUGGGCAGUAACUGACGCUGAGGAGCGAAAGCGUGGGGAGCGAACAGG
rnacentral:rRNA from 1 species